rnacentral:misc_RNA from 1 species
ACCAAAAGCAUCUGUUUUUGAAACGUCAAUUCGUUCAAUUUAGUUCUACAAUGAUUGUUGUUUUUCAAAAUCACCAGCUGGUUAAACAUGUUUAACUGGUUAGAGUUACGUUACUUUCUAAACGUAUCUCUAACCAGUUAAACGCUCAUGACAAAUUUCUUCAUGCAUAUUACCUCUCUACCCAGCUUUCAGAUUAAGUUUGACAUCAUACAUUGAAAAGCUUUUACGGAUGUAUGUUAUGUGCGAAAGUUCAGGCAGCCCAAUCAUUUCUCCCUUCCUAUUACUUCGAGGGAAUCUGGAAUACAAUUUGCUGGAUACUAAUUUAAUUUCUUGGGUGUUGGUUCGAUUCCAAAGGUGAUAAGAAUUUCCAAUUAAUAGAGGAACUCUGAAUACACCAAGUGAUAAAGAAAGAAAAAUGAAUUGAAAGAAAUUCUAGUGGGAAUGAGAAUGUGUUAGCAGUAGAAUCUACGAAUUGAUCCUGAUGAAAGCUUGUGUGCCCAUUACGAAGUACGAUGUAUUACAAAUUCUUGUGAAGUUGAAGAAUAUGUUGUUCAAAUUAGAGAUAGACUUUGCAAAGAUGCAUUGUUGUAAGGCGGAGGUAGUGGAUUCGAAUCCCACUGUAUCCCAAUGAGCGUAGGCUAGACCAACGUGGAUAGUACUAUAAGGCAUCACCGAACUGGGUACUUGCAGCUCAAGAGGAAGAAGAAGAUCACUGAUACGUAGACAUCUGACCUCUGACCCUAGAGACUUCUGAUUGUUUCUAAGCAAGGUGUUAUUAUUCUGGAUAUUUGUGGCUAAGAUGGAGCUUAAGUUUUUCCACAUAAGUUAGAAUGUGAAUUAUCUUGAAUAAAAUUAAAUACAACACAUUAUUAAAUAUCAAA